CUCUCACAAAGGAAAAAAACAAAACAAGGGAGCCACUCACAGAGAGCCAGACACGUGCUUACACACUUUCUCUCUCUCACACACACAUACACAGAGAGUCCUAUACACGAAAACAAAAAAGUACAGGGAACAUGGGCGUGCCACACAAAUACACAGGCACACACACUUAGAUAUGUACACACACUGUCUCAAACACACGCCUACACACGUACAUUCGCUACUAACAAAGAAACUCCAAAAAGCAGCGCAUGCACAUGCACACACACACACGGACUUACAGGAGGCCCGAUGACUGUACUUCAAGCUUCACCUCCCAACCCAAGCCCAAAAAUCUGUCUCCAAUUAUCUGGCCCGUGUUGGGAGCAACAGGAAAUCCAGAGCUGCCUCUGUCUUCUGGGGGAGAUGCCGGGAUUUCAGCCAUUUCUCCAUCUUUGGAAAACAAAAGCCUUCUGGGCAGUUGCUUGGCUCAAGGAUAAGGGUCUACAGUGAGGACCCUGGAAUCAGCAGUGACCCCAGGCACCAGCCUCCUGCAGUGACCAGCACAAGAGUGCAACAACCACCAGACUUCCAAUCAGAAGACCUGGGCUCGAGUCCCAGAUCUGCAGCGAGCCAGCUGCCAGUGACUUCACGCCUCAGAAUCUCACUUAGAAAAUGAGGGUAAGACAGCGGCAUGCCUUACGGGGUGGUUGCGAGCAACGUGAGCUGGUACAAGUGCUUGUGUGGCUGUUGGCUAUGAGACGGUGCCCCAACCUGUGUGAGUGGCAUCUCCUCCCCAAAUAGAAAGCUGUCCUUGUCUUCCCCAGAUACAUUUGGCCAUUCCCACAGAAGAGAAAAUACGUUUUCAAGAAACCAAAGAUUGAGACUUCCCUGGUGGUCCAGUGGCUAAGACUCUGUGUUCCCAAAGCAGGGGCCUGAGUUCUAUCCCUGGUGGGGGAAAUAGAUCCCACAUGCCACAACUAAGAGUUUGCAUGCCUCAACGAAAGAUCCCGAAUGCUGCAACAAAAAUCUAAGGUCCCAC
rnacentral:lncRNA from 1 species